rnacentral:rRNA from 1 species
AUGAAACACUCCUACGGGAGGCAGCAGUGGGGAAUAUUGCACAAUGGGCGCAAGCCUGAUGCAGCGACGCCGCGUGGGGGAUGAAGGCCUUCGGGUUGUAAACUCCUUUCGCUAGGGACGAAGCUUUUUGUGACGGUACCUAGAUAAGAAGCACCGGCUAACUACGUGCCAGCAGCCGCGGUAAUACGUAGGGUGCGAGCGUUGUACGGAAUUACUGGGCGUAAAGGGCUCGUAGGUGGUUUGUCGCGUCGUCUGUGAAAUUCCGGGGCUUAACUCCGGGCGUGCAGGCGAUACGGGCAUAACUUGAGUACUGUAGGGGUAACUGGAAUUCCUGGUGUAGCGGUGAAAUGCGCAGAUAUCAGGAGGAACACCGAUGGCGAAGGCAGGUUACUGGGCAGUUACUGACGCUGAGGAGCGAAAGCAUGGGUAGCGAACAGGAUUAGAAACCCGUGUAGUCCGAAGUUC